UUUUUUAUAGUUUCAGAUUAUAUGUUUUCAGAUUCGAAAUUUUUACAAUUUUUUUUUUUCGAAUUUUUUUUUUCCAAAUUUUCUUUUUAUAAUUUAAAAAUACUUUUUAAAACUGUUUUUAAAAUUUUUAUUUUUUAUUUUAAUAUUUUUUUUUAUAAAAUUUUAAAUUCUAAUUCCAAAACCCCACUCCUUAACUCUAAACCCUAAAGUUUGGAUUAAUUAACCAA
rnacentral:lncRNA from 1 species